rnacentral:rRNA from 1 species
GURGGCUGCACCAGAAGCGGCUAGUCYRACCUUCGGGAGGGCGGUCGCCACGGUGUGGYUCAUGACUGGGGWGAAGUCGUAACAAGGUAGCUGUAGGUGAACCUGCAGAAGGAUCA